rnacentral:rRNA from 1 species
UGGGGAAUUUUGCACAAUGGGGGAAACCCUGAUGCAGCGACGCCGCGUGAUUUAGAAGGCCUUCGGGUUGUAAAAAUCUUUUUUACGGGAUGAAAAUGACAGUACCGUAAGAAUAAGGUCCGGCUAAAUACGUGCCAGCAGCCGCGGUAAUACGUAUGGACCGAGCGUUGUCCGGAAUCAUUGGGCGUAAAGGGUACGUAGGCGGCCUAGUAAGUUAGAAGUGAAAUAAUAUAGCUCAACUAUAUAAAGCUUUUAAAACUGCUAGGCUUGAGAGAUGGAAGGGAAAGUGGAAGUCCGAGUGUAGCGGUGAAAUGCGCAGAUAUUAGGAAGAAUACCGGUGGCGAAGGCGACUUUCUAGUCAUCUUCUAACGCUGAGGUACGAAUGAGUGGGGAGCAAACAGG